CACCCGAAGUAAAGACCACUCAUCAUCACAUAAGCGUGCAGUUUAACAACCACAAAGCAAAGGAGUUUCUUGCAAAGAGAUGGAAAGAGGCAACCUCUGGAGAACACGUGACAUUGGUUCUGUCUCAGGAAACAGACAUCUCGGGCAACAACACUCACGAAUCCUCAAAUGGUGUUAUAACCGCAAGACCAAAGCCGAGGAUGAAACCCGAAAAGGGAACGAAGGUAAAAUAUGUUCCAAAACAGAGGAUUCCUUGAAAACAAAAAAAGACGAGCUUGAUUCUGGACCAGAGAGUAUCAUUCUUUUUAGGUAUACCAAAA